CCUACGGGUGGCAGCAGUGAGGAAUAUUGGUCAAUGGCCGGAAGGCUGAACCAGCCAUGCCGCGUGAAGGGCAGGGCCCUAUGGGCGUUAAACUUCUUUUGUGCGGGAGCAAGAAUGGUCACGUGUGGCCAGACGAGAGUACCGUACGAAUAAGCAGCGGCUAACUCCGUGCCAGCAGCCGCGGUAAGACGGGGGAUGCAAGCGUUAUCCGGCUUUAGUGGGUUUAAAGGGUGCGUAGGCUGUGAGGUAAGUCAGCGGUGAAAUGCCCCCGCUCAACGGGGUGAAGUGCCAUUGAUACUGCCUUGCUGGACUGCGGCUGCCUUGGGAGGACUGUGUGGUGUAGCGGUG
rnacentral:rRNA from 1 species